GACGAACGCUGGCGGCAUGCCUAAUACAUGCAAGUCGAGCGGAAUGAUGAGAGCUUGCUCUCUGAUUUUAGCGGCGGACGGGUGAGUAACACGUGGGCAACCUGCCCUACAGAUGGGGAUAACUCCGGGAAACCGGGGCUAAUACCGAAUAAUCAGUUUGUCCGCAUGGACAAACUCUGAAAGACGGUUUCGGCUGUCACUGUAGGAUGGGCCCG
rnacentral:rRNA from 1 species